rnacentral:rRNA from 1 species
UGGGGAAUAUUGCACACUGGAGGGAACUCUGAUGCAGCGACGCCGCGUGAACGAAGAAGGCUUUCGAGUCGUAAAGUUCUUUUAUAGGGGAAGAUAAUGACGGUACCAUAAGAAGAAGUCCUGGUUAACUACGUGCCAGCAGCCGCGGUAAUACGUAGGGGGCUAGCGUUGUCCGGAAUCACUGGGCGUAAAGGGUUCGCAGGCGGAAAUGCAAGUCAGGUGUAAAAGGCAGUAGCUUAACUACUGUAAGCAUUUGAAACUGCAUAUCUUGAGAAGAGUAGAGGUAAGUGGAAUUUUUAGUGUAGCGGUGAAAUGCGUAGAUAUUAAAAAGAAUACCGGUGUCGAAGGCGACUUACUGGGCUCAUUCUGACGCUGAGGAACGAAAGCGUGGGUAGCAAACAGG